rnacentral:rRNA from 1 species
UACGUAGGGUGCAAGCGUUGUCCGGAAUUAUUGGGCGUAAAGAGCUCGUAGGCGGUUUGUCGCGUCUGGUGUGAAAAUCCAGGGCUUAACCCUGGACCUGCAUCGGGUACGGGCAGACUAGAGUGCGGUAGGGGAGAUCGGAAUUCCAGGUGUAGCGGUGAAAUGCGUAGAUAUCUGGAGGAACACCGGUGGCGAAGGCGGCGUUCUGGACUGCAACUGACACUGAUGAACGAAAGCCAGGGGAGCAAACGGG